GAGGAGAUGAGGCAGCUCUGGUCGCCGCUGGCUUCCCAGUUGCUGGCUUGCAUGGCUCCCGGCUGAUCCGACCUCCAGAAUGGUGAGCUCCAUUUCUCUCGCACGAUUUGACAAGCUUGCUCAUCGAAGUGGCUCUCGUGACAGGGCGCCGCUGGAGGCAAGACUUUGAUGAGCCUUCCAUCGAUGGAGGAGUUGAAGGUGUUCCAGGCGCUGGGAUCUGGCCAGCAGGAUUGAAAUGCGGUGCAUAAACAGGAUGGAUGAUCGUUAUCGAAGGACGCUCGCGGCCGAGCGUCGGCUAAGAUCAAAAUCUGUAAAACUAGUGCCAACAUAGCGAUGGAGGAGCAUGAAACACGAGGAGACAUGAUGAUACGUGAGACGAUUGAGAUGGACAAUCUAUGUUUAUAGAUUAUUUGGAACUUCGUGGAAGUGCUAUGGUUUGACUGUAUCUCUUGGAAGAGUCUCGGAGAACACUGGAGUGGAAGGUGGUUUUCUUUUUCAGCAUCCUCUCGGCAGUUGCCAGAUAUAUGAGAUGAUCCUCACGGAACUGUGCUGGAUCGAUCACUAAAUGUGCUGGAUCGAUCUCUUGGUCAGCCACAUGCUGGAUAAUGUCAUUGUAAAUUGUAAAAAUCUUAUAAUCUUUGGAUGGCGUUUAGUAGCGAGUCAAGCUCAUCAGACACGAUCGAGUCAAGGUCCUUAGACAAAAAUAAAUCGCUCAUCGCUCAUCAUCCUUUUUCUCCUGCAAGCGUGAAUUUGUUCAAAGGUUUGACAAUUCUCAAAUGGCUAUUGAUAUGCCACGCGAGAUGUUUGAUGAUGGUAACGUUCACCACCUAAUGGAAAGAAAUUAGCGUCAAACCAAUAAACAUGGGAUAUUAGGUCACAAGAGCCUGCAUAUUGCAAAUUAUUUAUAUGAACCCUAAUUUUUCCUUGGACAAUUUAGGUCAUUGCUCCACUUCUCGCUACCGACGCAGUGAUGGCAGCGAAAGAGGCCGGAUGGAUCGACCUUGCUCUUGAUGGCCUGGAGGCGAGGGUAGUGCUCGCCGAAGAAGGAUUGCUGCCAGUCCGGCUCGUUGAAAUCCGCCUCGUUGAUGUAAGUUCCUGAUCCAGGCGUCACAUCGAUGAGCAGCUUGUUCGCGGCGCUCACAUUCCUUGCAACCUCGCGCUGCUCCUCCAGGCUCGCCCCAUCUCUCCAGCCGCUGCCGAUAAUCACGAACAAAAGGGCUCGGCGCCAUGCCGGAUUCACGGCAUUCUCAUCUCGCGGCCUUGCCACUGCUCCGCCGGCCACGAAUGCGCCAAAGAUCGUCAACGGAGGCGGGUAGCGCUCCAGGAUCGAGACAAGGGCAUCUGAGAGCGGCUCCACGGAUUUGCGGCUGUGGAAGAGGGAUUUUGGGAUUAGCCUGGAGGAGAGAAGGAGGGGAGUGGCGGAGCCGUUGGAGUUGACGCAGGAAUUCUGGCCUCCACACAGGAAUUGCGAGUAAUACUCUUGGAACGAUGAAAGAGAGACCACGCUUCCAUUUCCUUGGAGCUUUGGAUGCUUCUCAACGUAGUCAAGGAAUGUUGCUAGCGUCCGGUUUGCGAAAGACACGUCCUUGUUGGGAAGAAGAUACGAGACCUGCAAGCUCUGGCUGGACAGUCCGAAGUAUCCCGACCAUCCAGCUUCCGAGAGACUGGGAUGGAUCACGGCAAAGUUUGUGAGCAAGUCCAGGAAGCUGGAUCUAUCUCUGGCAUUGAUGGAGUAGCCAGCGAAGGCGAGAUCUUCCAGCUGCGGAUGCGUCCGGUGUGUAGCAGAGACCACGACUCCAAAAGUUCCUCCUCCGCCCCCUCGAAGAGCCCAGAAGAGAUCCUCGUUUUGGCAGCCGUUAGCAACAACGAGAUCUCCAGCAGCAGUCACGACUUCAUACUCCAAGACAUUGUCCGCUGCGAGGCCGAAGGCUGGAGAGAUUGGACUGUGUCCAGCGGCCUGUGGAUAUCCACCGGCAGCUCCAACAGUAACACCCCCAGCCCCGACGAUCACUUUACCUUGCUUGAACACUGCCUGGUAGAGCUCCUCCCACUGGACUCCAGCUCCGACCGUCACUGCCGAUACCGGGGACACUGAGCAUCUCUUGGCGACAAAGUCGUGGUGGAAGCUUAUGUUCUUCAGGUGAUGCGUCCAGAUGCUGAGAGAUCCAGCCGCAGUGCUCUUUCCAAAGAAGUCGUGCCCGGUGUUCUUGAUCACUAGCCGGAUGUUCUUGGUGGAUGCAAACCUUACCGCAGAUUGGACGUGAGAUGGAGUGGAGACAUUCACGGCAUAGACUGGAACGGAGCCCUGAGAGCAGCUCGAGUUGCGAGGGGAGGAGAUGAGGCAGCUCUGGUCGCCGCUGGCUUCCCAGUUGCUGGCCUGCAUGGCUCCCGGCUGAUCCGACCUCCAGAAAGGUGAGCUCCAUCUCUCUCGUACAAUUUGGCAAGCUUGCUCAUCGAAGUUGCUCUCGUGACAGGGCGCCGCUGGAGGCAGGACUUUGAUGAGCCUUCCAUCGAGGGAGGAGUUGAAGGUGUCCCAGGCGCUGGGAUCUGGCCAGCAGCUGGAUUGAAAUGCGGUGCACAAACAAUCGUGAUCCAAGGACGACCGGGCAUCGGCAACGAGCAAAAUCAGUGCUAAGAUAGCGAUGGAGGAGCAAGAAACAGGAGGAGACAUUAUGAUUUGUGAGACAAUCGAGUGUGAAUGCUGGAUGUUUAUAGAUUACUUGGAACUUCGUGGAAGUGCUAUGGUUUGACUAUCUCUCUUGGAAAAGUCUCGAGGUAACACGGGAUCGUCAGCAUCUUCUCGGCUUGCAGCCACACCCUCCUCGUGUCUACAGUCCUAGCUGACUAUGGGAUGAACCCAAAGGAGAUUGAUCAGUGUGUGUGUCGCGGACAGCGGGUGUGCUACGCAAGGUAUCGAUUUUGCGCGACGAGCAGCGGACAAUGCCAUGAAGUUAGCCACAAAACUCUGGAACUUUCCUAGCAACUUAUAAAUUAAAUUUAUAAUUCUAUUUUAUAGAAUCUUCAGCAAGAGGAGUUUUGUUUAUUUUGUUGUUUAUUUGCUCAGUUGUCGUGACUGAGCAAAGUUCAAAUUUUGGAAAUAGAGGAUAUGUGACACUCCUCACCUCCAAAACAUAACAUAAUAAUCCACCUUCUUGGUUUGGAUGAAAGGUCCUAAUCAUCUUUUGUUACUUCCACUCUAUUUAAUAGGAGGGGAGGAAUUCAUCAUCCAUUUUUUUUUUCUGCAAGUGAUUUUCCAAUUGAGAAUUAUCAGAGGAAAAUACGGGGAUGGUUUGUCACGGCCCUAUCAGAGUGGGAUAACGUUGGUCACUAUGUUCCUUGUUUCCUUCCAUAUGACAAUUAAUUUGUAAGAAAAUAAAGUAGAGAUAAAAUGUACAUAUACUACAUGUUGAUUGCUUAAGGAACCAAUAUGUAAUUUACAGGCCAUGGUAUGACGUUGCAUGGGUCUUGUCACAACUACAUAUGCAUGCUAAACCCAUGCUACCACGAAGAUCAAUGGGCUAGAAAAUCGAUGGAAUGGAGUUCUUAUCAUGAUGACAAGCUCUUUUGGUUUUUGCUCGCCUGACUGCAAGAAUGGAUAGCUCUGUUUUGGAUGAAUGAUGAGAACUCUCCAUACACUGUGGCUCUCGUGCGUGCUACCAGAGCAUUCCUCGCCGUUUGAAUCAUACGCAAUGUCGUCGCUUGGAAUGCACUGAUGCAACUAUGCGUCUCUAACCUCAUGCUUUGACUAGCUGUGUUUGUGGAACACGCUCAUUGCGGUGUUCACACAGCUAAACAUGAGGCAAUCGGAUGUUGUGAUUAGCGCCACUUCGAUGAUUGUUGCGCUAGUGUGGAGUUUGGGGCCACAAUCGUGGAGCUCCACAGGAUUUCAAGGCAAGAUCUUGUUUCUUGGAAUGACAUGGCCCAAGUUUACGAGGAUAUUGGAAACCUAGCAUGGAGAAUCUUGAUCCAAUGCUGUGGGUGUGACAUUGGCACUGCGGCUGGAUCUCUCAACAUCUGGCUUCACCAGAUGAAGAACAUGAGCUUUCACAGUGACUUUAUCGCCAAGAACUCAUUGUAGGGGAUAUUAGUUCAUUUAUAUAUCAAAUGUGACUGUAUUUUAUUCUUUAUGUCAUGAAUGGUUAUAUUACAUAAUUUUUUUUAUGUACGUAACCAAGCAUAUAAAGAUGUUAUAUCAGGCAUCAAAAGAUUUAAUUUUCAAGUACAUUUAGAUCUCACUAUUAAGUGUAUUAUUAUUCAAUAAUACAAUUGCAUAUUAAAAGAGCAUGGAUCACAAGAAAACAAACACAAUGUUACUUAAUUAAUAUUUAUAAUUAACCAUCUAGUUUUCGGUUGGGUGUUCACUUAAGGUUGCUUGGAUAAUAAAGACUUAAAAGGAACAUCAUGAAUGUUUCAACCAUAUAAGUAUUGUUCAGAUAUUGAGAAGUUAGUUUGAAGGUAGUCAAUUUAAACAACCUCAAUGUGGGGUGUUUUAGUUUCAUGGAUCUUGAUAACGGUGUGAUCAAUAGAAAUAUGUGGAUUUUGAACAAACAGCAAAUAAAUUUCUACAAAUUCAAUGUACUUUUCUUCCAUUUUCCAAGUGAAAGAACAAUUUGUUCUCUUCAUAGAUUACCCGAGAAGAUCAGAAGGCUAUGCAGCACAAAGUUGAGAUUGUUGUCGUCAACGAUCAAUUCCCAGGACCAUAAAUCGACAUUGAGGAGAGCAGUAGUCUGGACAUCAAAGUAAACAACUUGUAGUGUUCUACUGAUUGAUAGAUUUCCUGGCAUAAUGGCCAGCUUACAUCACCAGUGCCUGAUCCAGUGCCAGAUCGCCCGGUGUGGAUGUUCUUGGCGGAUGCAAACUUCACCACAGUUUGGACGUGAGAUGGAGUCGAGGCAUUCACAGAGUAGACUGGAACAGAGCCUUGCGAGAAGCUCGAGUUGGGAGGGGAGGAGAUGAGGCAGCUCUGGUUGCCGCUUGCUUCCCAGUUGCUGGACUGCGGCUGAUCCGACCUCCAGAAUGGCGAGCUCCAUUUCUCUCGCACGAUUUCGCAAGGUUGCUCAUCGAAGUCGCUCUCGUGACAGGGCGUCGCUGGAGGCAAGACUUCGAUGAGCCUUCCAUCGAUGGAGGAGUUGAAGGUGUCCCAGGCGCUGGGAUCUGGCCAGCAGGAUUGAAAUGC
rnacentral:lncRNA from 1 species